rfam:Edhazardia aedis TSNM 41457 supercont1.8, whole genome shotgun sequence.
CAUUAGGAUUUAUUAAAUCCACAAAUAGUUAGCAUAAAAAAAAUU